rnacentral:rRNA from 1 species
AUACUGCAGUCGAGCGAUGGAUUAAGAGCUUGCUCUUAUGAAGUUAGCGGCGGACGGGUGAGUAACACGUGGGUAACCUGCCCAUAAGACUGGGAUAACUCCGGGAAACCGGGGCUAAUACCGGAUAACAUUUUGAACCGCAUGGUUCGAAAUUGAAAGGCGGCUUCGGCUGUCACUUAUGGAUGGACCCGCGUCGCAUUAGCUAGUUGGUGAGGUAACGGCUCACCAAGGCAACGAUGCGUAGCCGACCUGAGAGGGUGAUCGGCCACACUGGGACUGAGACACGGCCCAGACUCCUACGGGAGGCAGCAGUAGGGAAUCUUCCGCAAUGGACGAAAGUCUGACGGAGCAACGCCGCGUGAGUGAUGAAGGCUUUCGGGUCGUAAAACUCUGUUGUUAGGGAAGAACAAGUGCUAGUUGAAUAAGCUGGCACCUUGACGGUACCUAACCAGAAAGCCACGGCUAACUACGUGCCAGCAGCCGCGGUAAUACGUAGGUGGCAAGCGUUAUCCGGAAUUAUUGGGCGUAAAGCGCGCGCAGGUGGUUUCUUAAGUCUGAUGUGAAAGCCCACGGCUCAACCGUGGAGGGUCAUUGGAAACUGGGAGACUUGAGUGCAGAAGAGGAAAGUGGAAUUCCAUGUGUAGCGGUGAAAUGCGUAGAGAUAUGGAGGAACACCAGUGGCGAAGGCGACUUUCUGGUCUGUAACUGACACUGAGGCGCGAAAGCGUGGGGAGCAAACAGGAUUAGAUACCCU